GAAGAGUUUGAUCAUGGCUCAGAUUGAACGCUGGCGGCAGGCCUAACACAUGCAAGUCGAACGGUAACAGGAAGCAGCUUGCUGCUUCGCUGACGAGUGGCGGACGGGUGAGUAAUGUCUGGGAAACUGCCUGAUGGAGGGGGAUAACUACUGGAAACGGUAGCUAAUACCGCAUAAUGUCGCAAGACCAAAGAGGGGGACCUUCGGGCCUCUUGCCAUCGGAUGUGCCCAGAUGGGAUUAGCUUGUUGGUGGGGUAACGGCUCACCAAGGCGACGAUCCCUAGCUGGUCUGAGAGGAUGACCAGCCACACUGGAACUGAGACACGGUCCAGACUCCUACGGGAGGCAGCAGUGGGGAAUAUUGCACAAUGGGCGCAAGCCUGAUGCAGCCAUGCCGCGUGUAUGAAGAAGGCCUUCGGGUUGUAAAGUACUUUCAGCGGGGAGGAAGGGAGUAAAGUUAAUACCUUUGCUCAUUGACGUUACCCGCAGAAGAAGCACCGGCUAACUCCGUGCCAGCAGCCGCGGUAAUACGGAGGGUGCAAGCGUUAAUCGGAAUUACUGGGCGUAAAGCGCACGCAGGCGGUUUGUUAAGUCAGAUGUGAAAUCCCCGGGCUCAACCUGGGAACUGCAUCUGAUACUGGCAAGCUUGAGUCUCGUAGAGGGGGGUAGAAUUCCAGGUGUAGCGGUGAAAUGCGUAGAGAUCUGGAGGAAUACCGGUGGCGAAGGCGGCCCCCUGGACGAAGACUGACGCUCAGGUGCGAAAGCGUGGGGAGCAAACAGGAUUAGAUACCCUGGUAGUCCACGCCGUAAACGAUGUCGACUUGGAGGUUGUGCCCUUGAGGCGUGGCUUCCGGAGCUAACGCGUUAAGUCGACCGCCUGGGGAGUACGGCCGCAAGGUUAAAACUCAAAUGAAUUGACGGGGGCCCGCACAAGCGGUGGAGCAUGUGGUUUAAUUCGAUGCAACGCGAAGAACCUUACCUGGUCUUGACAUCCACGGAAGUUUUCAGAGAUGAGAAUGUGCCUUCGGGAACCGUGAGACAGGUGCUGCAUGGCUGUCGUCAGCUCGUGUUGUGAAAUGUUGGGUUAAGUCCCGCAACGAGCGCAACCCUUAUCCUUUGUUGCCAGCGGUCCGGCCGGGAACUCAAAGGAGACUGCCAGUGAUAAACUGGAGGAAGGUGGGGAUGACGUCAAGUCAUCAUGGCCCUUACGACCAGGGCUACACACGUGCUACAAUGGCGCAUACAAAGAGAAGCGACCUCGCGAGAGCAAGCGGACCUCAUAAAGUGCGUCGUAGUCCGGAUUGGAGUCUGCAACUCGACUCCAUGAAGUCGGAAUCGCUAGUAAUCGUGGAUCAGAAUGCCACGGUGAAUACGUUCCCGGGCCUUGUACACACCGCCCGUCACACCAUGGGAGUGGGUUGCAAAAGAAGUAGGUAGCUUAACCUUCGGGAGGGCGCUUACCACUUUGUGAUUCAUGACUGGGGUGAAGUCGUAACAAGGUAACCGUAGGGGAACCUGCGGUUGGAUCACCUC
rnacentral:rRNA from 1 species